GGCUCAGAUUGAACGCUGGCCGCAUGCUUUACACAUGCAAGUCGAACGGUAACGCGGGGCAACCUGGCGACGAGUGGCGAACGGGUGAGUAAUGUAUCGGAACGUGCCCAGUAGUGGGGGAUAGCCCGGCGAAAGCCGGAUUAAUACCGCAUGAGACCUACGGGUGAAAGCGGGGGAUCGCAAGACCUCGCGCUAUUGGAGCGGCCGAUAUCAGAUUAGGUAGUUGGUGGGGUAAAAGCCUACCAAGCCGACGAUCUGUAGCUGGUCUGAGAGGACGACCAGCCACACUGGGACUGAGACACGGCCCAGACUCCUACGGGAGGCAGCAGUGGGGAAUUUUGGACAAUGGGCGCAAGCCUGAUCCAGCCAUGCCGCGUGCGGGAAGAAGGCCUUCGGGUUGUAAACCGCUUUUGUCAGGGAAGAAAUCUUCUGGGCUAAUACCUCGGGAGGAUGACGGUACCUGAAGAAUAAGCACCGGCUAACUACGUGCCAGCAGCCGCGGUAAUACGUAGGGUGCGAGCGUUAAUCGGAAUUACUGGGCGUAAAGCGUGCGCAGGCGGUCUUGCAAGACAGGUGUGAAAUCCCCGGGCUUAACCUGGGAACUGCACUUGUGACUGCAAGGCUGGAGUACGGCAGAGGGGGAUGGAAUUCCGCGUGUAGCAGUGAAAUGCGUAGAUAUGCGGAGGAACACCGAUGGCGAAGGCAAUCCCCUGGGCCUGUACUGACGCUCAUGCACGAAAGCGUGGGGAGCAAACAGGAUUAGAUACCCUGGUAGUCCACGCCCUAAACGAUGUCAACUGGUUGUUGGACGGCUUGCUGUUCAGUAACGAAGCUAACGCGUGAAGUUGACCGCCUGGGGAGUACGGCCGCAAGGGUGAAACUCAAAG
rnacentral:rRNA from 1 species